rnacentral:tRNA from 1 species
GCUACUGUUGAGGCAUACUGCCCUCCGAAGGCAGGGGUUGCUGGUUCGAUCCCAGCCGGGCGCGCCA